GUGGAAUUUAAAGUCAUGGAACCUCGAGAAUUUCCUGUACCAGUGACAGCAUCUGCAGACAGCAAAGCAGGUUCAAGAUUGGAAGACUUCUCCAAGCAUGUGACCUCAGCUGCAUCGUGCACACUCAACCAUCAGCCCUCCUCACCAGCCCCCACCCUCGGUGGUUCCGUGCUGGGGUUUGUCUUCCAUAGCGACCUUCGCCACACUGUUGAUAUCUCAACUUUCCUUAUUUAUAAGGAGCACGCUUACCGCACAGCAAACUGGGACCACAACAGUGAUUAAAGGUAAUUCCCAAAUUUC